AAACUUUCAACAACGGAUCUCUUGGUUCUGGCAUCGAUGAAGAACGCAGCGAAAUGCGAUAAGUAAUGUGAAUUGCAGAAUUCAGUGAAUCAUCGAAUCUUUGAACGCACAUUGCGCCCUCUGGUAUUCCGGGGGGCACACCUAUUCGAGCGUCAU
rnacentral:rRNA from 1 species